GACGAACGCUGGCGGCGUGCUUAACACAUGCAAGUCGAACGAUGAACCGGAGCUUGCUCCGGGGAUUAGUGGCGAACGGGUGAGUAACACGUGGGCAACCUGCCCCAGACACCGGGAUAACCUUCCGAAAGGAUGGCUAAUACCGGAUAUGACCACUUCGGGCAUCCGACGGUGGUGGAAAGGAUUCUGGUCUGGGAUGGGCCCGCGGCCUAUCAGCUAGUUGGUGGGGCGAUGGCCUACCAAGGCGACGACGGGUAGCCGGCCUGGGAGGGGGACCGGCCACACUGGGACUGAGACACGGCCCAGACUCCUACGGGAGGCAGCAGUGGGGAAUAUUGCGCAAGGGGCGAAAGCCUGACGCAGCGACGCCGCGUGAGGGACGAAGGUCUUCGGAUUGUAAACCUCUUUCAGCAGGGACGAAGCGAAAGUGACUGUACCUGCAGAAGAAGCACCGGCUAACUACGUGCCAGCAGCCGCCGUAA
rnacentral:rRNA from 1 species